GUUGAACGCUGGCGGCGUGCCUAAUACAUGCAAGUCGAGCGAACAGAUGAGGAGCUUGCUCCUCUGACGUUAGCGGCGGACGGGUGAGUAACACGUGGAUAACCUACCUAUAAGACUGGGAUAACUUCGGGAAACCGGAGCUAAUACCGGAUAAUAUAUUGAACCGCAUGGUUCAAUAGUGAAAGACGGUUUUGCUGUCACUUAUAGAUGGAUCCGCGCCGCAUUAGCUAGUUGGUAAGGUAACGGCUUACCAAGGCAACGAUGCGUAGCCGACCUGAGAGGGUGAUCGGCCACACGGGAACUGAGACACGGUCCAGACUCCUACGGGAGGCAGCAGUAGGGAAUCUUCCGCAAUGGGCGAAAGCCUGACGGAGCAACGCCGCGGGAGUGAUGAAGGUCUUCGGAUCGUAAAACUCUGUUAUUAGGGAAGAACAAAUGUGUAAGUAACUAUGCACGUCUUGACGGUACCUAGUCAGAAAGCCACGGCUAACUACGUG
rnacentral:rRNA from 1 species